UUAAUUACUGCAGCUUGUUCAGGCUCUGGUGCUCUCCUUCCACCCAUGAUGUCCUCAGUUACAUUAUCAUUAACUAGCUGGAUGAAGAAGAGAUAAGAAGGAAAUCACUGGAAGCCAAUGACUUGAGUCAUCCCAGGCUGGUACAGCACAAAGCUGAAGACCACAGUGAGCCACCACACUGACCUCUGCCCUUGAGCAGGAGAGCUCUAAGGUUUCAAGUGAGAUAUUUUUCAACCCUUCAUCCCUUUAACCUGCAAGCAUUUAUCUUCCUUAAAGUGUGCAUUUCAGGGUGUGCUGUAACAACAUAUCAGGUAUCUGGCUUUGAAGUUCUUUAAGGUAAGGUCAGGCCCCCAUUGGGUGUAGAAAGAAAACCACCCAGCAUCUCACAUCCCCUGCAGCCCGGGCACACUCACAGUACAAGAAUUCAGAAUUAUUGGUUGGAGCUUCCAGCUUCCCCAGCCCCAAACCCCCCCCGGCAUACUUACAGGAAUCGAGGAGGACCAGGGGAGGAGCAUGUCCUCUGGGGUGGUGGUCGGUCUCCAGUGCCCUUGGGAGCACGAAGGUUUGAGUAAUUUGGGAUGACUUGCUGGGCUGGGCGGAUAACUCUCAUGCAAGGUCCGGGAACAGGAGGAAGUGGUUGCGAUGUCUGUGCAAAAUGCUGGUAAGGAGCUCUGCCAUCUGGGAGGGUGAGAAAAUAAAGGCAGCCACUAUCAUUUCAGCCAACACA